rnacentral:sRNA from 1 species
GCCAGGUGUGGUAGCACAUGCCUGUAAUCCCAGCGACUCAGAGGGCUGAGGCAGGAGGAUCACAAGUUCAAGGCCAGCCUGGAUAACUUGGUGAGACCCUGUCUCAA